rnacentral:rRNA from 1 species
AACGGCCGUACCAUGCUGAAUAUACCGGUUUUCGUUAGAUCACCGAAGUCAAGCAUCAUUGGGCGCGGUCAGUACUUGGGUGGGUGACCACCUGGGAACACUGCGUGCCGUU